CUUGCCUGGUACAAUGGGAUCAAUCAAUGGAAUAGUCCCAAAAAUGCAAACACGACCAUGCUCAGUGCAAAUCAAGGGCAACUCCAUUUGCCUUUGAUGUAUGACCAUGGUUUGGUCUGGUCUGGUCUGAUCUAAUCUCUGGUGGACACACUAGGUAACAUAAAUUAGAUUAGAUCCGUUUAUUAGUCACAUUCACAGGGUGGCAGAUGUAAAAGCAGGAUACAGUGAAAUUAUUAUCCUCAGAGACUGUAUGGUACAUAGACUGUAUGGUAACAUAGACUGUAUGGUAACAUCUGUCAAAAGACUCUAGUUGUUUGCUGGAAUGUUUAUUGUUUGCUGGAGGUCCUCAACUGCCAAACACUUGAUGUUGUUUACUUGACUCUAUUCAGAGGGGCCUGGCCUGGCUCAGUGUGAUGAUGUUACCUGAUGGGUGAUGUUUACUUGACUCUAUUGGCCUUGGUCAGAGUGACAGGAUCUCUGUUGACACCAUGUUGAUAGACCUUAUAUAAAAUAAGACCGGGAUUCAAUCCGAUCGCAGGUUGUAGACAAUGCUGCUUCUAAAGGUGGGUCCUGCAGCCUCUCCUCUCCUCACACACCAACCCUGCUCAUCUCUCAGCUGGACAGUAAGGGCCGUUCACACCACACACUGACAACAUGCUGGGGACACUCUGUACUCUCAUCACUGCUCUAACAUGUGUCAGUGGUGUGACUGUGGUGACACAGAAGCCUCCUGUUGUGGCAGUGAGGAAAGGAGAGACGGCCACUAUUGACUGUAACCUGGGGACUGUUGAUAAUAGAGACGUGCUGCUCGUUUGGUAUAAACAGGUUCCAGGAGGAGUCCCUCAGUACGUGUUAAGGUGGUACCACACUGGUUGGAGCUCUGUAGAAUAUGGUUAUGGUUUCUCCUCUCCUAAAUUCACAUCUAAUCAUCAGUCUAAAUCAGAUUAUCGUUUGAUUAUUAAUAAUGUGGAGGAGGAGGACUCAGCAGUGUAUUACUGUCAGACCUGGGACGACUCUGCUAAAGAGUACGUAUCACAGUGAUAUACACCAUGACAAAAACCUCCUCACCAAAUACACUCACUUCUGCUUUCAGAUGUUCUGAAUAUAAAUACUAACUGAAUGUCAAGUCAUCCUGAACCAGUGUGUCUGCAGUAGGAGAGCAUGCCAUGCUUGUGUUUCACACAAAUCCCUUCACACAUUUAGUAGAAUGUUGUCAUGAACAAUUACACCUAGUUGUCACAAACCAUGAAUCAUAAAGUGAUAUUCCAGAUGGUCCUUUCAGUCCUAACAGAAGACUCCAUGUAUCAGAUAACCUCCAUGAUAGUCAGUCCCCUGGUUUACAGUAGAGACAUAUUACAUCAACAGUCAUUUAGUGAUAUACUGUUAGUUCAGAACCCCACUAUCAGGUCCAGAUAAUAUUAUAAUAAUAUUAUUAGUAUGUAUAUUAUGACAUGCUGAUAUAAACUAACUUACGUAACUGAGAAGAAACAUAAUAUUGCUCUUUACAAUGCAACAAAAAAUAUACAAUAUG